rnacentral:rRNA from 1 species
GCAUGCUUAAGUCUUGCAAGUCGAACGGUAACAGACCUUCGGGUGCUGACGAGUGGCGGACGGGUGAGUAACACGUGGGAAUCUACCUUGUAGUGGGGGAUAAGCCAGGGAAACUUGGACUAAUACCGCAUACGCCCUAAGGGGGAAAGGAGCAAUUCGCUAUAAGAUGAGCCCGCGUCUGAUUAGCUAGUUGGUGAGGUAAAGGCUCACCAAGGCGACGAUCAGUAGCUGGUCUGAGAGGAUGACCAGCCACAUUGGGACUGAGACACGGCCCAGACUCCUACGGGAGGCAGCAGUCGGGAAUAUUGGACAAUGGGGGCAACCCUGAUCCAGCAAUGCCGCGUGUGUGAAGAAGGCCUGCGGGUUGUAAAGCACUUUUAGUAGGGAAGAUAAUGACGUUACCUACAGAAAAGCACCGGCUAACUCCGUGCCAGCAGCCGCGGUAUACGGAGGGUGCAAGCGUUAAUCGGAAUUACUGGGCGUAAAGCGUGCGUAGGCGGCUCAUUAGUCAGAUGUGAAAUCCCGGGCUCACCUGG